GAAAAGAAUCAGAGGAAAUUUGCUUAAGGUUUUCAAGCUUUAACUCACAAAUUGGUGAGUGUAAUUUAUUACUUUUCUUUUAAAUUUUAUAUUUUUCAGAUUGGGGAAUCAUAUUUUAACUAACUUGUGUAUCACUUUAUAAAACUGUUAAGGUUAGAAAGUUACCAUUAAUGAUUUUUCUAUAUUUUUUAUGUUAAAUUGAUAGAUUUUUAGUGUAUACGUGAAAAAGGACUAGAUUUUGAAGUUAGAUGUUAGAUUUUUCACUUGAGAAAAUAAAAUGGGUAUCAAGUAGAGUUGUUAUGAGAUUUUGUUAGAAAUCGAUAAUAGAGGAUCUAAAAUAGAAUGAAAUGAAGUCGGAUUAUGAAUCGACGUUUAGAAUGGAGAGUUAUGAUCGUUUUGGUUUUAAGAAUUUAAAUUGAGUGUAAUGUAAAGUUUGUUUGAGAUAAUAAUUGAUUGUGAAUUAGGUAAAUUAUUGAUGGUGUUAUUUGUUUAUGUUAAUUCGUAGCUACUGAUGAUCUUAUCUCUUCAAAAGUGAAGGAAAAAGCUAAAGUCAUCGAAAAAUAGUUCGAAAUUCCCUGUAAGUAUCACUAUAACUCAACUUAUUAUUUAUUUUUCCUUUUAAUUUCAUUGUUAGGUAAGUUGGCAAAACAAAGGAAGUUACACAUGAGCGGCUGACUAGAAAUACAAUAUUGAGAUUGAUUAUCGUGAUAGAAAGUUAAAUUGCAUAAUAAUUUGAAAUAGUAUAAUUUAGUAAAGUUGCACAUUUGGCUUGAACAUGAGACGAAUCAUGCCAUGUUUCAUAUGAAAUGACAUUCAAAGGAAGAGUUGUUGUUAAGAUCAAUAGAAUGGAAGCUGAACUGAGAAUAAAAUUAGACUAUGGGUUGUUAUAGUAAUUAUUGGGAAAAGUUGAGAACAAUUAAUGAGUUAUAGAAUCAGUAAGAUAAUAAUAAUUGCUUCAACUAUAAGUCGAUGAGUGCUAGGCAUAUUUUCCUUCGAACAUCCCAACCGUGGCUUUCACAAUUACUACUUCGGUUGAGCCGAUGAACGCAGAGCAUGAAUUGUUUACAUCAGAUGUGUCGAUAUAAAAUUACUUCAACUAUAUGUCAAUAAGCGUUAGCCACACUAACCAUCAGACGCAUUGACGAGUGUUGGGCACGAUUAUUUCUUCAGAUUAACCGAUGAGCAUUGGGCAUAAUUUGUUUAGUUCGGGACGUAUCGAUGAGGCACUGAGUGCCGAAUUAUAGUAUUAGUAGGAUCCAUAAAUUAGUUCGAAUUUGAGCUAUGUAUUAGCAAAUAUUAAUAUUGAACAAGAAGGAUAGUUUGAUUCAAAUUGAUAAUAUAAUGCAAUAUGACAAAAUGAGAAAAAACUGAACAAGGUUGCAUACAUCGUUAGCAUAAAGUGUUAAUAUGUUCGUUAAAAUAUAUUGGUUUGUUAAAAUAUCGCAUUUGGUUUGUUUGGCAUACAUGUGUAUAUUAAUGUAUUGCAUAACUUUGAUAUGAAACAUACUUGAAUUGGUCUAAGGAAAAAACAAAUCAACAGAGUCUAAUUAUUUAAAUUUCAUGUUAUAUUGAGUAUGUUAUAGUAAUACCAUUUGAAAUUAAUACUCACCGAAUGGUCUUGUUUUCAUAUGCAUGCUAGGUGUAUUUUGAGAUUUUGUACUCAGAGUUGUCAGCAUCCAACCGACAAAUCUUAGACUCAACAAAGCUCGUAUAUUUUCUUUUGUUUCAAGUUAGC
rnacentral:lncRNA from 1 species